AAAAAAAUCAAUUUAUUUAGCACAACCCUUGCUGCUUCCAUUAUUUCUCUCUCUCUCUCUCUCUCUCUACUACACUACCUUUCUCGGUGGGACUGCUUUCAUCGCUGAUCUGAUCAAUAUCUUGGCCAUGGUGUGAAAUUUGUGUGUACUUUUAUUGGUAGCUCUGCGAUAAUUCAACAUUGAGAUUGAGAUUUAAGAGAAUUAAUGGGUGAAUCAAUUGUAAAAGCACUGAAUGUCGAAAAUAAGAUGAGUGAGUCACUUGCCUCUGGCGCUACCCUGGACCCAUCGGUCUCAUUCGGUAGGUUUGAGAAUGAUUUGCUUUCUUGGGAGAAAUGGUCAUCUUUUUCGCCAAAUAAGUACUUGGAUGAAGUUGAGAAGUUUUCAACACCCGGAUCGGUAGCUCAGAAGAAGGCUUUCUUUGAAGCCCAUUACAAGAAAAUUGCUGCUCGGAAGGCUGAGCGACUAGAGCAGGAGAAGCAAAUGGAAACUGAUAGGUUGAUGACAGACGAUCAAAAUGGUGAAGGACAUGAAGGAAACACUUCUGGGACUGAUAUUGAACUCAGUGUAGCCAAUGGUCAGAGCUUUGAUGAAGGAGAUGAGCAAGUCAACAAUUCAAAUCAUAAUUGUGUCAUGAGUAGCGGCCUAUCUGAUGUGUCCAUUGAGAAUGCUACAAUCACUAUAGAGUGUCGAAGCUCAUCAGUCGAUGGAGCUAAGGAGGAAUCAGAUGGCAUACCAGAUAGCCUUGAAUUGAACAAAUCAGAAGAAGUUGUUUUGGUUCAAGAGAAUGUGAAAUUGCCACCUGUUUUGGUUCAAGAGGAUACUCCCCUAAAUGAACCUCAGGACAAGGUGCAAUUACGAAUGAAAUUGGUGGAGAGAGGCAACAGUGUUGGAAACAAAAAGAACGCAAAUUCAGAUGCAUCAAACAAACCUCAAAAGAUGACUCCCACAAAAAAAGAGAGGAAUUUGGCAGGAACAAAGAAGCCGGCAUCACCUUUACUAAAAAAAUCACCACAAAUUUCCACCCCAAAAACAUCAAAAGCAACAUCAGCGUCCACUGUAAUAUCUGCUUCUCAGACCUCAAUGAAAAAGGCAAAUGGAUCAUCAUUGCCAAGGAGCGGAAAACCUUAUGCAGGACAUAGCAAGAACGUAGCUCCUUCAUCCCUGCACAUGUCAUUUAGUUUGGGUCCUCCAAAUUCAGAAUCAGCUUCUCUUACCACAGCUCGAAAGUCUCUCAUUAUGGAGAAAAUGGCGGAUAAAGACAUUGUUAAGCGAGCAUUUAAGACAUUUCAAAACAAUUUCAACCAAGUAAGAUCUUCGGGUUAUGAAAGAUCUCCUGGACAAAAGGAGGUGUCAACCAUGAGGCCAGAGCAAAAGUUGUCGACUUCUUUGACUCCUCGAAAGGAGAAUGAAGGAAUAAAGAUGGCGGCAGAGAAGAUGGAUUCGAGAAGAGGUCAAUUGGGAAGAAGUUGGAAUUCUCCCUCAGCUAGGUCAUUAAAAGGAGCUGGUAUGGAUCAAAGGAAUGCAAAGCCUGCCCCAUCUUCUUUUAGCUUGAGAAGCGAUGAAAGAGCAGAAAAACGUAAAGAGUUUCUCAAGAAACUGGAGGAAAAAUCAUAUGCUAAAGAAGCAGAAAAAACACACCUUAGUUCAAAGACAAAGGAGGAAAAGGAGGCUGAGAUUAAAAAGCUAAGACAGAGCCUCAAUUUCAAAGCCACCCCAAUGCCAGGUUUUUAUCGGGGCAAAUGAUAUCAAAAAAUCAGUUAGAUAUGGAUAAAGGAACAACUCAGGUUUUCAGUAGAACUCAACUACUACUAGUACUAGAUAAGUUAUUGCUGCUGGUGGGAGAUGGAUGGAAAGGCCAAUUGUUGCUUUCUUUGCUGGCAAGGUUCUAAAAAGAGGUUGCGGUCGCUGUAAUGGUGGCGGUGACGUGGUUGCGGUUGCGGGGUGUAAAGGCCAUAGCGUAACGGUUGCAGUAACCGAAACCGAAAAUGCCAAGAAUGAACACCAUCAUCGCCGACCAGAAAUGCACAGGUGAAAGUUUCAUGCACAAUUAACUGAGUUAAAUGAAUUCAUGAAUCUUUGUCAAAGAUUGGAAUGUGGGCAGAUGAACAAGCGGACAGGACACGGGCACGUGUGAAGAAGAAAUUGAUUUAGUAAGAUCUCCAUGCCAGACUGUUAAUGCUUAAUCAAAAGCAACACCAUUGAUGAGUAGUAGGCUGUAUCUGUAUAGUUAGAGCAGACAACCCAUAUGGGCCGAGGCUCUUUGUUAUCUUAUAUUUGACAAACUCUUCCCCUCUUUGGCCUGCCUUCCCUUUGAAUUGCCUUUGAAAAGUAAGUGUCACUGUAAUGUUUUUGGAUUACGUAGAGAGGCGUCCAUCCAUACAGAUAACAUGAAUUCCCUGUAAGUUGCAUAUUCAUAUAUAUUAUUUGUUCUAGACAUUGUAUGGUUGCCCAUAUAUAUAUGUAUAAAACUCGCUUUUUGUCCUGCUCA